rnacentral:lncRNA from 1 species
GGGUGGUCGACACACACAUAGUCUGUGUGUGUGUGUAUUCUUGUGUGAAUCAAGGAAGAAGGAGAAGAGAAGGAAUUUGAAAUUUUUCAUGGAUAAUCUAUGAGUUUUGAAGUGUUCAUCAUCUCCUAAGCAUCAAGCGCGUCUACUUUAAUCUAAGGGCAUUGCAUGCUUUUAGGACAAGGUAUUAUAUCUUUAUGACAGAGUAAGUUUUGUAUAACCUUCUUUUUUCGCUUGGUAGUAAGGCACAUCAGGUGAAUCAUCUGCUAGGGUGAGUUUAAUAUGUAGAUCAUCUCCUCAUUGCAAGGUACUGUCUAGUGGAGCCUGCAAAAGUGUCCUAUAUAUGAAACCAAGGGCAUGCAAUUCGCAGAGUGAAAGUUAGGCUUCAAUUACCACUUGCAACAAAGGAUGUUAUCUACAACCUCACUUUUGUCUCCUAAAAUCUUUCCGUUACAUGUUUUUGCUUUGCUAUCCAUUGUAUGUCGAAGCUUAGAACAUAUUGCAAAUUAACUAGGCAUUUUGGUCAUUCCUCCUUACACAGGAACAAAUGAUCAACUACAAACCUCUAUAAGAUGUAAGUGCUUUGGUUAAUCCUUUUAUGAGUGUAAUGAACAAGGAGCAUGGCGACUACCUUCUACUUUAUGGCAAAGGUAUUAUUAGUAAAAGGAUGGUGGUGAGGAAACAUACAUGAUUCUGGGUGUGCUUAUGGAAUUAUUUAAGGCGAGCCUUGAAGUUAAAAAAACAUAGGUUCUUGAAUUGCGAAAAGAAAUUGAGGAGAACCAUUAAAGGAAAAAAACUGAGCUAGAAGCAAUGCAAAAGAGAUUUUGACAUACAACGAACAACUUAGAAGCUACGAUGUGAAGUAUUAUUUGGAAAAGCUACCUAUUCGAGAACUUCCGGAUCUUUGAGAUGAGUAGAAACUUUAUGUUACUUCUAUCAUUGUAAAUGACAACUUCAUUUUGGUUACAUUGUUAUUUUGAGUUUGGACAUGUGUUAAAUUGCGAUAUAAUAGAUAUGUUAUUAGUUUGUUGGUAAAAUUGAGAUAAUAUUGCGUAUUAAUAGAAUUUUCGUACUUUCAAAUAAUGAUGCUUUGGAGUUGCAUUUGAUUAUGAAAAAGGUUGCAUUUGUUGUAACUAGGAUUU